UUUCAAGAUUCUAAGGGCAAACGGUGGAUGCCUUGGCAUCUGGAGCCGAAGAAGGACGUAUAAAUCUGCGAUAAGCCUCGGGGAGCUGAUAAUAGAGCUUUGAUCCGAGGAUCUCCGAAUGGGGAAACCCCGCCAGGCCCUUUGGGUGACCUGGUGACUCCCGCCUGAAUAUAUAGGGCGGGUAGAGGGAACGUGGGGAAGUGAAACAUCUCAGUACCCACAGGAAGAGAAAGCAAAAGCGAUUCCGUUAGUAGUGGCGAGCGAAACCGGAAGAGGCCAAACCGAUCAUGUGUGAUAUCCGGUAGGAGUUGCAUGGUCGGGGUUGCGGGACUUUCCGUACAGUUCUACCGAGCUGUGAGGGCAAUGAGCGCGAUAUAGACGAAUGGUCUUGAAAGGCCAGUCAUAGAGGGUGCGAACCCCGUAGUCGAAAUGUCGUCGCCUGUCCGGAGAGUAUCCCAAGUAGCACGGGGCCCGAGAAAUCCCGUGUGAAUCUGUCAGGACCACCUGAUAAGCCUAAAUACUCCCAGAUGACCGAUAGCGGACAAGUACCGUGAGGGAAAGGUGAAAAGUACCCCGGGAGGGGAGUGAAAUAGUACCUGAAACCGUUUGCUUACAAACCGUUGGAGCGCCCUUGUUGGUGUGACAGCGUGCCUUUUGAAGAAUGAGCCUGCGAGUUAGUGAUAUGUGGCGAGGUUAACCCGUGAGGGGCAGUCGUAGCGAAAGCGAGUCUUAAUAGGGCGUAUGAGUCGCAUGUUCUAGACCCGAAGCGAAGUGAUCUAUCCAUGGCCAGGUUGAAGCGACGGUAAGACGUCGUGGAGGACCGAACCCACUUCAGUUGAAAAUGGAGGGGAUGAGCUGUGGAUAGGGGUGAAAGGCCAAUCAAACUUCGUGAUAGCUGGUUCUCUCCGAAAUGCAUUUAGGUGCAGCGUUGCGUGUUUCUUGCCGGAGGUAGAGCUACUGGAUGGACGAUGGGCCCCAAAAGGUUACUGACUUCAGCCAAACUCCGAAUGCCGGUAAGUGAGAGCGCAGCAGUGAGACGGUGGGGGAUAAGCUUCAUCGUCGAGAGGGAAACAACCCAGACCACCAUCUAAGGUCCCUAAGCGCGUGCUAAGUGGGAAAGGAUGUGGAGUUGCAUAGACAACCAGGAGGUUGGCUUAGAAGCAGCCACCCUUGAAAGAGUGCGUAAUAGCUCACUGGUCAAGUGAUUCCGCGCCGACAAUGUAACGGGGCUCAAGCACGCCACCGAAGUUGUGGCAUUUAUAUUAUAGGCAGGCCUUCGUGGUCCAGNNNNNNNNNNNNNNNNNNNNNNNNNNNNNNNNNNNNNNNNNNNNNNNNNNNNNNNNNNNNNNNNNNNNNNNNNNNNNNNNNNNNNNNNNNNNNNNNNNNNCGUAUGGAUGGGUAGGAGAGCGUCGUGUGGCCAGCGAAGCGGCGGUGUGAACCAGCCGUGGAGGCCACACGAGUGAGAAUGCAGGCAUGAGUAGCGAAAGACGGGUGAGAAACCCGUCCUCCGAAAGACCAAGGGUUCCAGGGCCAGGCUAAUCCGCCCUGGGUAAGUCGGGACCUAAGGCGAGGCCGACAGGCGUAGUCGAUGGACAACGGGUUGAUAUUCCCGUACCGAUGAAGAACCGCCCAAGACAAUCCAGUAAUGCUAAGUGUCUGAAUCCUUGAUUCGAUCCCUUCGGGGUGACGGUCUUGGCCUAGCACACGACCCUACGCUGGGGCGUUUAGCGUAUUAACAGGUGUGACGCAGGAAGGUAGCUGAGCCGGGCGAUGGUUGUCCCGGUCUAAGGAUGUAGGGCAGAAGAUAGGCAAAUCCGUCUUCUAUGUAGCCUGAGACCCGAUGGGUAGUCCUCACGGACGAAAUCAGUGAUCCUAUGCUGCCGAGAAAAGCAUCGACGCGAGGUUCCAAUCGCCCGUACCCCAAACCGACUCAGGUGGUCAGGUAGAGAAUACUAAGGAGAUCGAGAGAAUCGUGGUUAAGGAACUCGGCAAAAUGCCCCCGUAACUUCGGGAGAAGGGGGGCCUGAGGCGUGUAGGGAUUUACUCCUGAAGCGUUUGAAGGCCGCAGAGACCAGUGGGAAGCGACUGUUUACUAAAAACACAGGUCCGUGCUAAGUCGCAAGACGAUGUAUACGGACUGACGCCUGCCCGGUGCUGGAAGGUUAAGAGGAACGGUUAGCACGCAAGUGCGAAGCUGAGAAUUUAAGCCCCAGUAAACGGCGGUGGUAACUAUAACCAUCCUAAGGUAGCGAAAUUCCUUGUCGGGUAAGUUCCGACCUGCACGAAUGGCGUAACGACUUCCCAGCUGUCUCAACCGCGAACUCGGCGAAAUUGCACUACGAGUAAAGAUGCUCGUUACGCGCAGCAGGACGGAAAGACCCCGUGACCUUUACUACAGCUUGGUAUUGGUGUUCGGUGUGGCUUGUGUAGGAUAGGUGGGAGACUGUGAAGCUCGGACGCUAGUUCGGGUGGAGUCAUUGUUGAAAUACCACUCUGGUCACUCUGGAUAUCUAACUUCGAACCGUAAUCCGGUUCAGGGACAGUGCCUGGUGGGUAGUUUAACUGGGGCGGUUGCCUCCUAAAGAGUAACGGAGGCGCCCAAAGGUUCCCUCAACCUGGUUGGUAAUCAGGUGUCGAGUGUAAGUGCACAAGGGAGCUUGACUGUGAGACUGACAAGUCGAGCAGGGACGAAAGUCGGGACUAGUGAUCCGGCAGUGGCUUGUGGAAGCGCUGUCGCUCAACGGAUAAAAGGUACCUCGGGGAUAACAGGCUGAUCUUGCCCAAGAGUCCAUAUCGACGGCAUGGUUUGGCACCUCGAUGUCGGCUCGUCGCAUCCUGGGGCUGGAGUAGGUCCCAAGGGUUGGGCUGUUCGCCCAUUAAAGCGGUACGCGAGCUGGGUUUAGAACGUCGUGAGACAGUUCGGUCCCUAUCCGCUGCGCGCGUAGGAAAUUUGAGAAGAUCUAUCCCUAGUACGAGAGGACCGGGAUGGACGAACCUCUGGUGUGUCAGUUGUUCCGCCAGGAGCACCGCUGAUUAGCUACGUUCGGAACGGAUAACCGCUGAAAGCAUCUAAGCGGGAAGCCGGCUUC
rnacentral:rRNA from 1 species